rnacentral:rRNA from 1 species
ACUGGCAGGCUAGAGUCUUGUAGAGGGGGGUAGAAUUCCAGGUGUAGCGGUGAAAUGCGUAGAGAUCUGGAGGAAUACCGGUGGCGAAGGCGGCCCCCUGGACAAAGACUGACGCUCAGGUGCGAAAGCGUGGGGAGCAAACAGGAUUAGAUACCCUGGUAGUCCACGCCGUAAACGAUGUCGAUUUGGAGGUUGUGCCCUUGAGGCGUGGCUUCCGGAGCUAACGCGUUAAAUCGACCGCCUGGGGAGUACGGCCGCAAGGUUAAAACUCAAAUGAAUUGACGGGGGCCCGCACAAGCGGUGGAGCAUGUGGUUUAAUUCGAUGCAACGCGAAGAACCUUACCUGGUCUUGACAUCCACAGAACUUUCCAGAGAUGGAUUGG